AUUCCUACGGGAGGCAGCAGUGAGGAAUAUUGGUCAAUGGACGUAAGUCUGAACCAGCCAUCCCGCGUGCAGGAAGAAGGCGCUAUGCGUCGUAAACUGCUUUUCCAGGGGAAGAAAACCCGCUACGUGUAGCGGCUUGCCGGUACCCUGGGAAUAAGCAUCGGCUAACUCCGUGCCAGCAGCCGCGGUAAUACGGAGGAUGCGAGCGUUAUCCGGAUUUAUUGGGUUUAAAGGGUGCGUAGGCGGAUUAAUAAGUCAGUGGUGAAAACCUUCAGCUUAACUGGAGACUUGCCAUUGAUACUGUUAGUCUUGAGUACGGUCAAGGUAGGCGGAAUGUGUAAUGUAGCGGUGAAAUGCUUAGAUAUUACACAGAACACCGAUUGCGAAGGCAGCUUACUGGGCCAUUACUGACGCUGAGGCACGAAAGCGUGGGGAGCGAACAGGAUUAGAUACCCUGGUAGUCCACGCCGUAAACGAUGAUCACUCGCUGUUGGCGAUACACAGUCAGCGGCUAAGCAAAAGCAUUAAGUGAUCCACCUGGGGAGUACGGCCGCAAGGCUGAAACUCAAAGGAAUUGACGGGGGCCCGCACAAGCGGAGGAACAUGUGGUUUAAUUCGAUGAUACGCGAGGAACCUUACCUGGGCUUAAAUGUAGAGUGCAUGGGGUAGAAAUAUCCCUUUCCUUCGGGACUCUUUGCAAGGUGCUGCAUGGUUGUCGUCAGCUCGUGCCGUGAGGUGUCGGGUUAAGUCCCAUAACGAGCGCAACCCUUAUCGUUAGUUGCCAGCGGGUAAUGCCGGGAACUCUAACGAAACUGCCGGUGUAAACCGUGAGGAAGGUGGGGAUGACGUCAAAUCAGCACGGCCCUUAUGUCCAGGGCUACACACGUGUUACAAUGGCCGGUACAGAGGGCAGCUACCUGGAGACAGGAUGCGAAUCUCCAAAGCCGGUCUCAGUUCGGAUCGGAGUCUGCAACUCGACUCCGUGAAGCUGGAUUCGCUAGUAAUCGCGCAUCAGCCAUGGCGCGGUGAAUACGUUCCC
rnacentral:rRNA from 1 species